rnacentral:rRNA from 1 species
GGUGCAGCAGGCGCGAAAACUUUACAAUGCUGGCAACAGCGAUAAGGGGACCUCGAGUGCCAGGAUACAAUCUUGGCUGUCGCGAUGCCUAAAAAGCAUUGCAUAGCAAGGGCCGGGCAAGACCGGUGCCAGCCGCCGCGGUAACACCGGCGGCUCGAGUGGUAACCGCUAUUAUUGGGUCUAAAGGGUCUGUAGCCGGCCGGAUAAGUCUUUUGGGAAAUCCAGCUGCUCAACAGUUGGGCUUUCAGAAGAUACUGUUCGGCUCGAGACCGGGAGAGGUGAGAGGUACUUCAGGGGUAGGGGUGAAAUCUUGUAAUCCUUGAAGGACCACCAGUGGCGAAGGCGUCUCACCAGAACGGAUCUGACGGCAAGGGACGAAAGCUAGGGGCACGAACCGGAUUAGAUACCCGGGUAGUCCUAGCCGUAAACGAUACUCGCUAGGUGUCAGCCACGGUGCGACCGUGGUUGGUGCCGUAGGGAAGCCGUGAAGCGAGCCACCUGGGAAGUACGGCCGCAAGGCUGAAACCUAAAGGAAUUGGCGGGGGAGCAC